rnacentral:rRNA from 1 species
GACGAACGCUGGCGGCGUGCUUAACACAUGCAAGUCGAACGCUGAAGCUCAGCUUUUGUUGGGUGGAUGAGUGGCGAACGGGUGAGUAACACGUGAGUAACCUGCCUCCUUCUUUGGGAUAACGCCCGGAAACGGGUGCUAAUACUGGAUAUUCACUGGUCUUCGCAUGGGGGUUGGUGGAAAGGGUUUUUCUGGUGGGGGAUGGGCUCGCGGCCUAUCAGCUUGUUGGUGGGGUGAUGGCCUACCAAGGCUUUGACGGGUAGCCGGCCUGAGAGGGUGACCGGUCACAUUGGGACUGAGAUACGGCCCAGACUCCUACGGGAGGCAGCAGUGGGGAAUAUUGCACAAUGGGCGCAAGCCUGAUGCAGCGACGCCGCGUGAGGGAUGGAGGCCUUCGGGUUGUGAACCUCUUUCGCUCAUGGUCAAGCCGCAACAAUGGUUGUGGUGAGGGUAGUGGGUAAAGAAGCGCCGGCUAACUACGUA